GGGGCACUUAAAGACCUCACUAGAGAUGC
rnacentral:sRNA from 1 species